ACUUCCACUGCAACUGCUGGCCAAAAUCUUAAACAAGUGAAGUAACACAACUGAUAAGGCCCAGAGACACCACACCCUGGCUACUGCUGGCAUGGAGGACGAAGGGGACACUGAUUACUUGUGGGCCGCACAACAGUUAUCAGGAGUUGUGCCCUUCAGCCACUCCCCCCAAGGCUCCUCGGCUGAUAUGUGUGCGGAUGUGGCGGUUCAUGUGGCUGCUGUUGUUGGACUGGUAGGAGCAGUGAGGGCAGGAGAACGGCUUUUCACCCAGCCUGCCACCUACCAAGUUACCCAGCAACCCUUGCUGGAGCCUUGCAUCCCACACCCUUUAUCAAGCUUUUCAUCUCUAAGGAUUGCUUUGUCUGGCACCAACAUGUUAUUAUUAAGUUGAGUACUCAGUUUGUAUUUGGGGAACCUGUUGUUAAGUGCUGCACAUGAUUUGGGGCUGAAAGAAAAGUUAUACCAACUCUGCACUUGUCAUAUAUUUGCUUAAGAAUGCUAUACAAAUUACUCUACACUAAUUAAUAGCUUUAAGGGCUUCAUAAAACAACAAAUUUUACUACCAAUGUAUUAUUACUACACACAGAAGCAGUCACUACAUUUUACUUCAAUACAAAAAUAUGCUAA